rnacentral:tRNA from 1 species
GGCUUAGCGGUGCGAUGGUAGCACGUUCCAUCGUCAACACUCCGAGAAUCCUCGGCUGAAACGUUGACGUUGGAAAGAUCGCGGGUUCGAAUCCCGCCUGGGCCG